rnacentral:rRNA from 1 species
UACGAAGGGGGGCUAGCGUUGCUCGGAAUCACUGGGCGUAAAGGGUGCGUAGGCGGGUCUUUAAGUCAGGGGGUGAAAUCCUGGAGCUCAACUCCAGAACUGCCUUUGAUACUGAAGAUCUUGAGUUCGGGAGAGGUGAGUGGAACUGCGAGUGUAGAGGUGAAAUUCGUAGAUAUUCGCAAGAACACCAGUGGCGAAGGCGGCUCACUGGCCCGAUACUGACGCUGAUGCACGAAAGCGUGGGGAGCGAACAGG